AGGAUGUUUAGCAACAUCCCUGGUCUGUACCCAUCAUCUGCCAGUAGCAACCCCCAAGUCAGGUGUGACAACCAAAAGUAUCUGUAGACAUUGCUAGAUAUCUCUGGGGGCCUCCACAAGUUGAGAACCACCAGGUUAUGCUAGUGGUUUGUCAUGCGUGGAUCUGCAGAGGGACUGUGGCUUUCCGGCUGCAUUGUUCCAGAGAAAGCCUGUAUGUGACAAAGCUUCCAGCCUUUAUCUUGAUACCCAAGCCCAGGAUUUUCCAAGGGUCUUCAGGGGGCAGGUAGGGGGAAAUGGGGUGAGCCACCUCCAGCAGAUGCCAACCUGUUGGGUCUUGAAUUUUUACUCGCUGAAGAUGCCCCCAGCCCGCUCCCCCUUUCCUAGAAAAGCAAAACUUGUUACCUUUGUUUUCCUUGGCCACGUUUUACUGGAAGCAACAGGAACUUCUUAAUGGGUUUGUGGCCCUCAAUUCGUUUUUUUAAAAAAUCUAACAGAUGUUAUUGGCAAAUAUUCAAGAUGCUGAUGCUGGAAAAUUUCAGGACUUUUCUUUUGCAAGUGAGCCGGUAGCUGUGUUUGUUGACCGCAUUCUUGGCAGUUCCUCCCGGAAGAUCAAAGGAUCCUGCAGCUUUAACUGUAUCUGGGCUGUAAAAAUAUGAGGGCAGGUUUUGGGUAGGAUGUAUUGAUCAGACACCAAGUUCAGCCCUGUUACUUCCCUCUUUUAACCUGGCGUUAAUAGUGAUUCAUGGUAUGGGUGGGGGCCAGUCUCUUAUCCUUUCUGUGCCUCAGUAUCCCCGCCUGAAAUGGGACUAGUCAUACUAACCUACCUCCUCUGAUGUAUUGUGAGGAUUAUAGAAUAACAUUUUUAAAGAAAAAAAGUGCAGUCUUUCACCUCUGGCAUCUCAGCUAAUGAGUCCCAUUCAGUGAAUCACACCUGUCAAGGGGGUGGAUUCCAGUGUUCUCUGACCAGUGUCUUCCAUCCAAGCCUCCUUGUGACCAGGGCAAGGAGCUGCCUGGCCUCCAGCGCGAAAAAUAGACCUUUAAGACAGAUUUCCUAUGACCACAGAAAGUAACACCCCAUAUGUUUCCAUUCCCGGCAAGGCCUGUUUGAACAGCGCUCUGUGCGUGCUGUGAACAGGCUGCCUGUCAGCAGUCUCACUGCUAGGCCUCAAGGCCUCUGCGUGCAGAAGCCCCUUUAAACCAAGGAAGGACACUAACCCAGGCCUCUGCCUUCUUUGUUACCUAAGUUCUGGUAUCUAAGGGGUCUCUUAACUCAUAGCUUGUCUCCUUUGUUUCGAGGGGUCUCUGCAGUGUGAGUGGGUUUGAAAUCCAGCAUGGAUAGUGGAAAGAGAUGCAACUGAGCCGAAGUUUUGAAGGCUGGUUGGGCUAGUGGGUCAUCAUGUCACUUUCAGAUGACUGAUGACCACUGAGCCUUCACCAGCACGAGCUAUGCAGGUAGGGGGAGGCCCUGGCUUUUUCAAUGAUUGAUGUGGACAUGAGUCAGGAGCUGGGAGUUGAGACCUCCAAGGAAGUCUCAUCCGGAGCCAUCGCUCUUCUCUCAAAGAGCACAGUCCUGGGGAAGGCCUAGGGACUUGUGGGCCAGUGAUGCAGGCACUGCAGACCAGCCAGGCCCUCGGGUAAGGCUCUGAGGAGAGGCCAAACCCAGGCUUCAGGUUCGGGAAGGUGACCGCUUGCAACUGCGGUAGCAGGAACGUGUCAGGUGCUUACUGGGUGAGACCCAGCCCGGGAAGCCUCUCCAACUCCUCCUAGCCCUGGAAACCGGACAUCCAGAGCCCCAGGCUUUCUUGGCACCCAGAGGAAGCAGGGAGAGGGCAAAGCAGCAAACGUUCAAUGCAUGAUGUAGGAUUGCUGCCUUGACACUAAGCUGUUGUAUUAAGCAUGAGAGGUGUUUGUUUAACGUUGGCAAAGGGAUUUAACAAGAAACAAAAAACUUCGUGUCCUUGUUUUGACUGUCGACAGAACUCCCAUUUUCUUGCCUUUCUUUAUCCCCAUUUCUCCUCCUCUCUCCCCCUCCCCCAUCGCACCCACUUUCGGUCACUUGUUGUUGGUAUUUGGUGGCAGCUCUUGGUCCUGUUGCUGUGGAUGUUCCACUGAAAACACGGGGGGUAGGGGGGAGUGGUAAGGAAAGCAACUUUUUUCUAAUUUUUGUAUUGGUAUCCACAAGCGUUUGUAUUUUUUGAAUUGCAAACACUGUGUUUUCUGGUCUUUGGGGGUUGGUUGAACUUUCUGUAUUACCUUUUGGAGAACCUGAGUUUUACCACAGUCUUAAGCAGAUUUGAAAUAAAUUCUUUUGACACUGCCAACAACAG
ensembl:lncRNA